CGGCAUCUCCACUAAUCACGGCUUCGUGCAAAGCUGUUCUAGCUUUGGGCCCGGUGUAUGCCGGUGAGAGACAUAUCUCCAAUAUCUUAGAAGCAGUUUCUUUGUACUCUCUCACCGCUGCAAGGUAAAGCGGGUUUUCUCCGGCUGCAUUAGCUAUGUCCGCAAAUUCUGGAUUUGCUCUUAACAAUGUUUCCACCACUUGAGGAUGGUUAUUUCUAACAGCCUCAUGUAAGGCUGUGUUUUCAUAUGGGAUUGUCUUCUUCAGCAUCUUAUCACUUGUUGACGCCUCUGCGCCUCUCUCGAGAUCUUCGUAUUGGGCCUUCUUAAUGCUCCGAAUAAGAAAUUCGACUAUAUUGUUGUGCCCAAACCUUGCUGCAAUAUGCAGCGGAGUUUCGCCUUUGAUAUUGGGCUCAACUAGCAGCGACGGACACUUGCUGAUAAGUAGUUCCACAAAUUCAAUGGAUUCAUUUUCUACUGCUGUGAUAUGAACAUGUAGGACUGUAUUUUUCUUUGGGGUACGCAAAAGAUCCAGAGGCUCUGUGUAAUCCUUGAAUUUGUCGAUUUGGCCUUCAGCCGCAGCAUUGUACCAUUCAGCAUCAAUGAAAGUGAUGAUGUCUUUUUGUUUGGGCUGAUCAUUGGUCUCAGAUGCUGAUUGGGUUUCGUGCAAAGGUUGGGAAUCUGCCAUAUGUGCAGCUAGCUUGAGGUCGCUAGCAAAGUUGAGCAGUGAAAAAUAGCGAGCAAGAAAAAGCUUUUGCAGUGAGAUUUUUGGUUCUUC
rnacentral:misc_RNA from 1 species